rnacentral:misc_RNA from 1 species
GAUGAAGAACGUAGCGAAAUGCGAUAAGUAAUGUGAAUUGCAGAAUUCAGUGAAUCAUCGAAUCUUUGAACGCACAUUGCGCCCUUUGGUAUUCCGAAGGGCAUGCCUGUUCGAGCGUCAUUUCACCACUCAAGCCUGGCUUGGUAUUGGGCGCCGCGGUCGAUCCGCGCGCCUCAAAGUCUCCGGCUGAGCUGUCCGUCUCUAAGCGUUGUGAUUUCAUUAAUCGCUUCGGAGUGCGGGCGGCCGCGGCCGGUAAAUCUUUCACAAGGUUGACCUCGGAUCAGGUAGGGAUACCCGCUGAACUUAAGCAUAUCAAUAAGCGGAGGA